AUUGAACGCUGGCGGCAGGCCUAACACAUGCAAGUCGAGCGGAUGACGGGAGCUUGCUCCUUGAUUCAGCGGCGGACGGGUGAGUAAUGCCUAGGAAUCUGCCUGGUAGUGGGGGACAACGUUUCGAAAGGAACGCUAAUACCGCAUACGUCCUACGGGAGAAAGCAGGGGUCCUUCGGGCCUUGCGCUAUCAGAUGAGCCUAGGUCGGAUUAGCUUGUUGGUGAGGUAAUGGCUCACCAAGGCGACGAUCCGUAACUGGUCUGAGAGGAUGAUCAGUCACACUGGAACUGAGACACGGUCCAGACUCCUACGGGAGGCAGCAGUGGGGAAUAUUGGACAAUGGGCGAAAGCCUGAUCCAGCCAUGCCGCGUGUGUGAAGAAGGUCUUCGGAUUGUAAAGCACUUUAAGUUGGGAGGAAGGGUUGUAGAUUAAUACUCUGCAAUUUUGACGUUACCGACAGAAUAAGCACCGGCUAACUCUGUG
rnacentral:rRNA from 1 species